UGGGGAAUAUUGCACAAUGGGCGCAAGCCUGAUGCAGCCAUGCCGCGUGUGUGAAGAAGGCCUUCGGGUUGUAAAGCACUUUCAGCGAGGAGGAAGGGUAGUGUGUUAAUAGCACAUUGCAUUGACGUUACUCGCAGAAGAAGCACCGGCUAACUCCGUGCCAGCAGCCGCGGUAAUACGGAGGGUGCAAGCGUUAAUCGGAAUUACUGUGCGUAAAGCGCACGCAGACGGUUUGUUAAGGCAGAUGUGAAAUCCCCGCGCUUAACGUGGGAACUGCAUUUGAAACUGGCAAGCUAGAGUCUUGUAGAGGGGGGUAGAAUUCCAGGUGUAGCGGUGAAAUGCGUAGAGAUCUGGAGGAAUACCGGUGGCGAAGGCGGCCCCCUGGACAAAGACUGACGCUCAGGUGCGAAAGCGUGGGGAGCAAACA
rnacentral:rRNA from 1 species